rnacentral:rRNA from 1 species
UACGGGGGGAGCAAGCGUUGUUCGGAUUUACUGGGCGUAAAGGGCGCGUAGGCGGUCAGCACAAGUCAGUUGUGAAAUCUCCGGGCUUAACUCGGAAAGGUCAACUGAUACUGUGCGACUAGAGUGCAGAAGGGGCAACUGGAAUUCUCGGUGUAGCGGUAAAAUGCGUAGAUAUCGAGAGGAACACCUGCGGCGAAGGCGGGUUGCUGGGCUGACACUGACGCUGAUGCGCGAAAGCCAGGGGAGCGAACGGG